rnacentral:rRNA from 1 species
UACGGGGGGGGGCAAGCGUUGUUCGGACUUACUGGGCGUAAAGGGCUCGUAGGCGGCCAACUAAGUCAGACGUGAAAUCCCUCGGCUUAACCGGGGAACUGCCUCUGAUACUGGAUGGCUUGAGAUUGGGAGAGGGAUGCGGAAUUCCAGGUGUAGCGGUGAAAUGCGUAGAUAUCUGGAGGAACACCGGUGGCGAAGGCGGCAUCCUGGACCAACACUGACGCUGAGGAGCGAAAGCCAGGGGAGCAAACGGG